rnacentral:rRNA from 1 species
ACCCUAUUAUUAAAAUUGUAAUUUUUAAUACUAAGGUAGUAUUAGUUAUGGUCUUGAAACUUAAAAAAUUUGGCGGUAUUUUAAUCUAUUCAGAGGAACCUGUUCUAUAAUUGAUAAUCCACGAUGGACCUUACUUAAACUUGUUUAUCAGUUUAUAUAUCGUUGUUAUAAAAAUUUUUAAAGAAAAAUAAUUUUUGAUAUUUUAAAUAGUAAAGUAAUAUCAAAUCAAGGUGUAGCUAAUGUUUAAGGAGAAAUGGGUUACAAUAAAUUUAUUUAUGGAUAUAAAAAUGAAAUUUUUAUUGAAAAUGGAUUUGAAUGUAAAAUUAUAAAGAUUAAUAAUUUGAUUUUAGCUCUAAAAUAUGUACAUAUCGCCCGUCACUCUUAUUAUUAAGGUAAGAUAAGUCGUAACAAA